GGCUGGGUAGCUCAGUUGGUUAGAGCAUUGUCCUGACACGCCAAGGUUGGGGGUUCGAUCUCCAGUCA
rfam:Myotis lucifugus cont2.38084, whole genome shotgun sequence.